AGCUCUGAGCUUGGGCCCCAAGGGAGUGAGGGUCGGGAUAUGGGGAAAAAAGGUGAGGAGACAAUUUGGUUCUCGUGUCGCUGGGUAAAGUGCGGAGCUGGAGGACGAGAGGGAGGGAGCAGGGAGGGGGAGGGGAGCUGCUGAGGGAUGGGGGAGCCACCGAGAGGAGAGGGAUGGGGGGAAGGGAGGCGGUGGGGGGGCAGGGUCUGGGUGGCAGAAGGAAGCUGGGGAAAGAGAGCGAUCCAGAGAGGGAGGGAGAGAGACAGAGAGAGAGACAAGGAGAAACGGAGAGAGAGAGAGACCCAGAGACCGCGAAACAGAAAUGGGGGAGGGAGAAAAUUGGGGGAGGCAGCGACUGGGAGCAGAAGGAAGUUGGAGAGACACACACACACAGAGAAAUAUCCAGAGAAAGAAGGGGACAGAGACAGAGACCCAAAGAGAAACCAAGAGACAGGGGAAGUAUGCGCACAACGGAAACACUUCUCUUCUAAACUCAGUUGCUCUUGCUUAUAAAGAAGACAUAAACUACCUCCAAUUAAAUGAGAGCAUUGAUGAGAGAAAGGUCUUUGCACAUGGUUCUAGGUGAUCUCUCAGAAGAGGAUCAAGAAGAUAGAUUCCAAACAAGACAGAGUCUCUCAAUGUCCUUGGAGAAGCAAAAUGCCACAUUGUGACAAAGACCUGAGAGUGAGCUACAACUGGCAGCAAAAAACCAGAGACCUCUGUCGAACCGCCACAGGGAAUUGAAUUCUGCUCAACUUGUGGGGCUUGGGAGUAGAUCUCUCACUAGUCCGGCUCCCAGAUGAGGACACAGCCAAGCGACAUCUCGAUUUCAGCCUCGUGGGACCCUGCGCUGAGGUGACGUUAUGCCGUGCUGAACUCCUGAUCCACGGAAACUGCAAAUUAAUAAACAUGUGCUGUUUGUUUUAAGCCA